rnacentral:lncRNA from 1 species
GUGGUGGCAGACAAGGUGGCAGAAAAGCUGAGUUCUACUCUCUCAUGGGUGAAGAACACAGUAUCGCACACAGUCAGUCAGAUGGCCAGUCAGGUGGCAAGUCCAUCUGCCUCACUACACACUACAUCCUCAUCUACCACAUUGUCAACACCAACACAGUCACCAUCUUCCCCAUCAAAGUUGAGUCCAGACGACUUAGAACUCCUGGCUAAGCUGGAGGAACAAAACAGAUUAAUAGAGACAGGCAGUAAGUCUUUAAGAUCAGUGAAUGGGUCAAGAAGAAACAGUGGUUCCUCUGUUGUAUCAAGUUCAUCAGCCUCCAGCAACCUCAGCCACCUGGAGGAAGACUCUUGGAUUCUUUGGGGAAGAACUGUGAAUGAAUGGGAUGAUGUACGCAAGAAGAAAGAAGAGCAAGUGAAGGAGCUUGUUCGUAAAGGGAUACCCCAUCACUUCAGAGCAACAGCGUGGCAACUUUUAUGUAAUGCACAGAGUGUGACAAUUAAGGACCAGUAUUCAGAACUCCUGAAAAUGACUUCACCUUGUGAAAAACUGAUACGAAGGGACAUUGCUAGAUCUUAUCCAGGACACAACUUUUUAAAGGAAAAAGAUAGCCUUGGACAGGAGGUUUGAUUUAAUGUAAUGAAGGCAUACUCCGUAGUGGACCGUGAGGGUGGUUACUGUCAGGGCAGCGCUUUCAUCGUUGGAUUGUUGCUGAUGCAGAUGCCAGAAGAAGCAGCUUUCUGUGUAUUUGUUAAAUUAAUGCGAGACAACCGACUUCGUGAACUCUUUAAGCCAAGUAUGGCGGAAUUGGGCCUUUGUAUGUACCAGUGUGAAUGCAUGAUAGAGGAGUAGCUUCCAGAACUCUUUGAACAUUUUCAAUCUCAGAGUCUCCAUACAUCAAUGUAUGCAUCAUCCUGGUUCCUGACUAUAUCUUUCUUACAACUUUCCCACUACCAAUUGCAACACGGAUAUUUGACAUCUUUAUGUCUGAGGGUUUGGAAAUAGUGUUUUGAGUAGGAUUAGCGCUUCUUCAGAUGAAUCAGGCAGAAUUAAUGCAACUUGACAUGGAAGGGAUGUUACAGCACUUUCAGAAGGUCAUUCCACAUCAGGUAUCAAGGUGAUCCAGAAAAAUUAAUCCAGUCAGCUUACCAAGUCAAAUACAACUCAAAAAAAAAAAAAAAAAAAAAGAAAAAGAAAAGAAAAAAACUUGAAAAAGAAUACACUACAAUCAAAACUAAAGAAAUGGAAAAGCAAGGUGAAAUUAAAAGGCUACGCACAGAAAAUAGGCUUUUAAAACAGCGCAUUGAGUCAUUAGAAAAACAUAAACGCAGUCCCACUACAACGGAGAUUUUGUGCUGCAGCUGGAGAAGGAAUUGGUUCAAGCCAGACUGAGUGAAGCCGAGUCUCAGUGUGCACUGAGGGAGAUGCAGGAUAAAGUGUUGCAUAUAGAGAAGAAGAACAACUCAUUUCCUGAUGAGAAUAAUAUUGCAAGGCUUCAGGAGGAACUCAUCGCCGUGAAGCUGAGGGAAGCCGAAGCCAUUAUGGGUUUGAAAGAACUUUGACAGCAAGUCAGAGCCUUGGAAGAGCACUGGCAGCGCCACUUAGCUCGGACUUCUGGAAGAUGGAAAGACCCACCCAAGAAAAAUGCUGCGAAUGAGUUACAGGAUGAGCUGAUGAGCCUUAGAGAAGCGAAAACACGGGCAGAAAUGAGAGAGAUGAAGCAAAGGAUGAUGGAAAUGGAGACACAGAACGAGAUCCAUAGUAACCAACUUCGAAGAGCAGAGCAAGAGGUGAACAGUCUGCAGGAGAAGGUGUGCUCGCUGUGAAGAACAAGGGGUUGCUUGCCCAGUUAAGUGAGGCAAAGUGCAGGCAGGCAGAGAUUGAAUGCAAGAACAAGGAGGAAGUCAUGGCUGUGCAGCUCCGGGAAGCUGAUAGCGUUGCUGCCCUGGCUGAGCUGCAGCAGCACAUUGCUAAGCUUGAAAUCCAGAAAGAAGAAGGCAAGCUCCAAGGACAGCGUAACAGGUCUGACUCUAACCAGGACAUUAGGGAACUGAAGACCAGAUAGCAGAGCUGACUCAUGAGCUCAGAUGCCUAAAAGGCCAGCGGGACUUCCCCAGCUGACCGCCUUUUGAUGGAAUCCACAUUGUCAGCCAUCUAAUAGGAGAAUAAUGAAUUGUUCCAUUCAUCGGAUGAAGAUUUUAUAGAUAGUUCCUUACAGGAAAAGUGCCAUUGGUUUUCCUUUGCACAGAAAAUCUGGCCCAAUGUCUCUGAAUCCUGCUUUGGCAGAUGGCAGAUGGCAGUGAGAGCAAAGCAGAAGAUGGUAUGCUAGGAUCUCAGGAGAGUGACCCUGAGGCUCCACAGAAGCAGCCUCCACAGA